UACGUAGGGUGCGAGCGUUGUCCGGAAUUAUUGGGCGUAAAGAGCUCGUAGGCGGUCUGUCGCGUCGGCUGUGAAAUCCCGGAGCUCAACUCCGGGUCUGCAGUCGAUACGGGCAAACUUGAGUACUGCAGGGGAGACUGGAAUUCCUGGUGUAGCGGUGAAAUGCGCAGAUAUCAGGAGGAACACCGGUGGCGAAGGCGGGUCUCUGGGCAGUAACUGACGCUGAGGAGCGAAAGCGUGGGGAGCGAACAGG
rnacentral:rRNA from 1 species